UGGGAGAAAAACCCAGGACCCCGGAGCCUACGCCGUAUCCAAUUGAAUCCAACCUCCAACCGAGGCGAUGGCGGGGGCGGGGAGCCCCCCCGAAGGCAGACACUAAGGAGACAAAAAAAUGCAAGUGGCUUAAGAGCGAGGAUUUGUUUUUCCGAAUCUACCCCCCCAACAAACCGGUCAGCCAAGAAGCCAAGAAAGCGCUGAGACGAGAAGCGGCGGCGGCUGCUAAGGUACUGAUGGACGGACGGCGACUAAGGAGAGGGGAAAAAAUCCUUGGCUGGUGAUGUCGGAAAGCUGUUUGAAUGCCCAGCGAGGAGGGAGGCGCGGGAGGGCGCGAGAUAGUAAAGCUCUGUAUUGGGUGUGCGCGCGGCGCUCGGUCUCCUCGGGCGCGUGAGGGAGGGGGAGCGCGGUCCCGAGGCGCGCUCCGGGCCCCGCGUGCUCGUGGACGCGCGCGUCCAGCGCGGUGCGCCCGGCGGCCGCCCGGGGCUCCACGCGCGCAGCGCGGCCGCGGCGCCUCCAGGAGCUCAGCCUGGCGCGGGCGCGGGCGGGGCGCUGAGAGAGCGGCGGCGCUAGGCGGGAGGACGCGCGGGAGGCAGAGGGGCUGGGAGAGCUUAGCCCGGGCCACCGAGCGCCAGCACGUCACGACUGCUCCAAACCCUGCACGUCCCGGGAGCUGCGCUUUCUGCGUCUGGGAGCGCCGACCUGUCGCAACCCAAGAGCUGUCAUUUCCGCACCGGGAUUCGGAGGGAUGGAUCGCCCGCCACGAAGGGGGCUGGUCUCGGUCCCCGAACUGCUCUGUCCCCGGGUGGAACAAUGCUAGUUUUUCUCUGCUAGGCUGCAAUUAA
rnacentral:lncRNA from 1 species